UGCCAGCACCCCGAGUGGUCGGGACGUUUAUUGGGCCUAAAGCAUCCGUAGCCGGUUCUGCAAGUCUUCCGUUAAAUCCACCUGCUUAACAGAUGGGCCGCGGAAGAUACUAUAGAGCUAGGAGGCGGGAGAGGCAAGCGGUACUCGAUGGGUAGGGGUAAAAUCCGUUGAUCCAUUGAAGACCACCAGUGGCGAAGGCGGCUUGCCAGAACGCGCUCGACGGUGAGGGAUGAAAGCUGGGGGAGCAAACCGG
rnacentral:rRNA from 1 species